AUUGGGGUAGCCGCCAAAAUAUUGGUACAUUUAAAAAAAGACAACUCUCUUCCGCAGAGUAGCUGUUGAUAUUAUAGUUGCGCAGGCACUUUGUUGAAUCUAGAGAACCUCAGGCCAAUUGCACAUCCUCGUGACAGCGACUUUGCAUUCGGAUGUCAUCCAUAUCAACUUUCGAUGCGCCUACCAUGGUGACCAUGGGUAACAGGGAAUCAGGGUUCCAUUCCAUAUAUGGACCCUGAGAAAUGGCUACCACAUGCAAGGAAGGCAGCAGGUGCCCAAAUGACCCACUCUCGACGCGAGAAGGUAGUGAU